AUUGGUGAGGAAACACCUCUUCCCAUUCCGAACAGAGAAGUUAAGCCCGUCGAGGCCGAUGGUAUUUGGGGGGAGAGCCCCUGGGAGAGUAGGA
rnacentral:rRNA from 1 species